rnacentral:tRNA from 1 species
GGGGUUGUAGCUCAGUGGCAGAGUGCUUGCCUAGCAUGUGUGAGGCACUGGAUUUAAUCCUCAGCAGCCCCA